rnacentral:ncRNA from 2 species
AACUUAUCUAGAGAGGUGGAGGGAACUGACCCUACGAAGCCCAGCAACCGUUUUGCAAGCCAUGUAAAAAAAGGUGCUAAUUUCAGCAGAAUGAUGUCCAUUCUGAAAGAUAAGUA